GUUUUACGUUUGAGGCCUCGUGGCGCACAUGGUACGCUGUGGUGCUCGCGGCUGGGAACGAAACUCUGGGAGCUGCGAUUGACAGUGGAACAGUGGUAAUUCCUACGAUUAAGAAACCUGUUUACAGAAGGAUCCCCACCUAUGGGCGGGUUAUCAGAUAUUAUCAGGUGGGAAAUUCGGUGGAACACAGUGGAGCCUUGUCCUCCGGGUUAAUGUCGCUUUUGGCAUUGGCCCCUGCUCCUGAGAGAAGAAAUAUACUGGGGAACCAGUCUUUACCGACCGUUGUUAUCAGAAAUUCACGGAGUUCGGCCUAGGUCGGACUCCGAUGGGAACGGCAACGGUUGUUCCGUUUGACUUGUCGCCCGCUACGGCGUGAGCGUCAAGGUCUGUUGAGUGCAAUCGUAGGACGUCAUUUGUGGCGAACCCGAUACCGAUUACUGCUGCUGUUCCAGCCCAUAUCCAACUUCCAAUUUAAUCUUUCUU
rnacentral:misc_RNA from 1 species